rnacentral:rRNA from 1 species
GCUUAACACAUGCAAGUCGAGGGGCAGCAUUUCAGUUUGCUUGCAAACUGGAGAUGGCGACCGGCGCACGGGUGAGUAACACGUAUCCAACCUGCCGAUAACUCGGGGAUAGCCUUUCGAAAGAAAGAUUAAUACCCGAUGGUAUAAUCAGACCGCAUGGUCUUGUUAUUAAAGAAUUUCGGUUAUCGAUGGGGAUGCGUUCCAUUAGGCAGUUGGUGAGGUAACGGCUCACCAAACCUUCGAUGGAUAGGGGUUCUGAGAGGAAGGUCCCCCACAUUGGAACUGAGACACGGUCCAAACUCCUACGGGAGGCAGCAGUGAGGAAUAUUGGUCAAUGGGCGCAGGCCUGAACCAGCCAAGUAGCGUGAAGGAUGACUGCCCUAUGGGUUGUAAACUUCUUUUAUAUGGGAAUAAAGUUUUCCACGUGUGGAAUUUUGUAUGUACCAUAUGAAUAAGGAUCGGCUAACUCCGUGCCAGCAGCCGCGGUAAUACGGAGGAUCCGAGCGUUAUCCGGAUUUAUUGGGUUUAAAGGGAGCGUAGGUGGACAGUUAAGUCAGUUGUGAAAGUUUGCGGCUCAACCGUAAAAUUGCAGUUGAUACUGGCUGUCUUGAGUACAGUGGAGGUGGGCGGAAUUCGUGGUGUAGCGGUGAAAUGCUUAGAUAUCACGAAGAACUCCGAUUGCGAAGGCAGCUCACUGGACUGCAACUGACACUGAUGCUCGAAAGUGUGGGUAUCAAACAGGAUUAGAUACCCUGGUAGUCCACACAGUAAACGAUGAAUACUCGCUGUUUGCGAUAUACAGUAAGCAGCCAAGCGAAAGCAUUAAGUAUUCCACCUGGGGAGUACGCCGGCAACGGUGAAACUCAAAGGAAUUGACGGGGGCCCGCACAAGCGGAGGAACAUGUGGUUUAAUUCGAUGAUACGCGAGGAACCUUACCCGGGCUUAAAUUGCAUUUGAAUAUAUUGGAAACAGUAUAGCCGUAAGGCAAAUGUGAAGGUGCUGCAUGGUUGUCGUCAGCUCGUGCCGUGAGGUGUCGGCUUAAGUGCCAUAACGAGCGCAACCCUUAUCUUUAGUUACUAACAGGUCAUGCUGAGGACUCUAGAGAGACUGCCGUCGUAAGAUGUGAGGAAGGUGGGGAUGACGUCAAAUCAGCACGGCCCUUACGUCCGGGGCUACACACGUGUUACAAUGGGGGGUACAGAAGGCAGCUACCUGGUGACAGGAUGCUAAUCCCAAAAGCCUCUCUCAGUUCGGAUCGAAGUCUGCAACCCGACUUCGUGAAGCUGGAUUCGCUAGUAAUCGCGCAUCAGCCAUGGCGCGGUGAAUACGUUCCCGGGCCUUGUACACACCGCCCGUCAAGCCAUGAAAGCCGGGGGUACCUGAAGUCCGUAACCGCGAGGAUCGGCCUAGGGUAAAACUGGUGACUGGGGCUAAGU